rnacentral:rRNA from 1 species
UACGGAGGGUGCAAGCGUUAUCCGGAUUCACUGGGCUUAAAGGGCGCGUAGGUGGCUUUGUAAGUCAGUGGUGAAAUCUUAGAGCUUAACUCUAAAACUGCCAUUGAUACUGCUUAGCUUGAAUCAAGUAGAGGUGGAUGGAAUAUUACAUGUAGCGGUGAAAUGCUUAGAUAUGUAAUAGAACACCGAUUGCGAAGGCAGUUCACUAUGCUUGUAUUGACACUGAGGCACGAAAGCGUGGGGAUCAAACAGG